AUUGAACGCUGGCGGCAGGCCUAACACAUGCAAGUCGAACGGUAACAGGAAGCAGCUUGCUGCUUCGCUGACUAGUGGCGGACGGGUGAGUAAUGUCUGGGAAGCUGCCUGAUGGAGGGGGAUAACUACUGGAAACGGUAGCUAAUACCGCAUAAUGUCGCAAGACCAAAGAGGGGGACCUUCGGGCCUCUUGCCAUCGGAUGUGCCCAGAUGGGAUUAGCUUGUUGGUGGGGUACCGGCUCACCAAGGCGACGAUCCCUAGCUGGUCUGAGAGGAUGACCCGACACACUGGAACUGAGACACGGUACAGACUCCUACGGGAGGAAGCAGUGGGGAAUAUUGCACAAUGGGCGCAAGCCUGAUGCAGCCAUGCCGCGUGUAUGAAGAAGGACUUAGGCUUCUAAAGUAAUUUAAGCGGGGAGGAAGGGAGUAAAGUUAAUACCUUAGCUCAUUGACGUUACCCGCAGAAGAAGCACCGGCUAACUCCGUG
rnacentral:rRNA from 1 species